rnacentral:rRNA from 1 species
UCGAGAAUCUUCGGCAAUGGGCGAAAGCCUGACCGAGCGAUGCCGCGUGCGGGAUGAAGGCCUUCGGGUUGUAAACCGCUGUCGUAGGGGAGAAAGGGUCGUUGAAGAAACGACUUUGAUCUAUCCUAGGAGGAAGUCCGGGCUAAGUUCGUGCCAGCAGCCGCGGUAACACGAACCGGACAAACGUUAUUCGGAAUUACUGGGCUUAAAGGGUGCGUAGGCGGUGCGGUAAGUGCGGUGUGAAAUCCCACGGCUCAACCGUGGAAUUGCGCUGCAUACUGCCGUGCUAGAGGGAGACAGGGGUAAGCGGAACUGAUGGUGGAGCGGUGAAAUGCGUUGAUAUCAUCAGGAACACCGGUGGCGAAAGCGGCUUACUGGGUCUCUUCUGACGCUGAGGCACGAAAGCUAGGGUAGCGAACGGGAUUAGAUACCCGUGUAGUCCCUGAGCGGGCUGGCAAGGCGCAU